rnacentral:lncRNA from 1 species
CUUGAUCUUUUUUUUUAAAGAUCAGAAACUGGAUACUGUAUUUUUGAUGCAAAUGAAAAAAAGGUAAAAUUGUAAACUUGUAAAGUGUGAUGCAUUACCUUGAUACCAACUGCAACAUAGUAGAAAUCCUUUUACAAUUAUCGGAUUUUUGUAAAGUGUUAUUCACUAUGCGAUACUGUCGAAAAUAAAGAAGCCUUCGAAAAAGACAAUACGGACAUUUGAAACAUGUUUGAUGAUUUUUUCAAUUUUGGUAGCUUGAAAAUUUUGAUAUAAUAAAACUUUUAUUGUGAUAUCCGGUUGAAGUAAGAGGAUUGCUUGACACUUCUAAUGUUUUUUGCAGUGGAAAGGUCAUGCAAGGUGUUUUUAAGGUAGUAGAUGAUUUGAGUAGAACACAUUUGAAAUACCUUUCUCAAAUUGCCAAUUAUAAAUUUGUGAAUAAUGGUAAACCUAAUAUUUCCAAAUCCCUCACGACCUGACCUUUGACAGAUUUUGAUUAUAUAAUGUUUAUGCAUUCUUAGUCAUUUAGACUCUUUACAAAAGAGUCUGUUCUCCCUACUUGGAAUUCAAAUGGUUGGUUUUGUUCCUUUUGGUGAAAGGAAAUGACUCUAAUGGCGCAUUAUAAUCUUUAAAGUGUUAAAUAUAUUACAAUGUUUAUUAAUAAAGCAAUAAAUGUAUUCCUUCGAUGCAUGUUUUGCUUGUGUGCUAAUUGAAUUACUCUUAUGAUGUGCAGCAUUACUCAGUUUCUACUAUGUACAUGUUAGUUCGAAAUGGACAAAAUAACUGCUGGGCAGUUUUACUUGCGGUUUGUCAUUAUCAGGGACAUUUUGUCAAAAACAUAUUUGCACUGUAGAUGUUUUUCCUUUUUUACACAUCUUGACU